rnacentral:rRNA from 1 species
UACGGGGGUGGCGAGCGUUGUCCGGAAUCACUGGGCGUAAAGGGCGCGUAGGUGGUUUGAUAAGUCGGCUGUGAAAGUCAAGGGCUCAACCCUUGAAUGCCGGCCGAUACUGUCAGGCUAGAGUCCGGAAGAGGCGAGUGGAAUUCCUGGUGUAGCGGUGAAAUGCGCAGAUAUCAGGAGGAACACCUAUGGCGAAGGCAGCUCGCUGGGACGGUACUGACGCUGGAGACGCGAAAGCCGUGGGGAGCGAACAGG